rnacentral:rRNA from 1 species
ACUAACUGGAGGACCGAACCGACUAAUGUUGAAAAAUUAGCGGAUGACUUGUGGCUGGGGGUGAAAGGCCAAUCAAACCGGGAGAUAGCUGGUUCUCCCCGAAAGCUAUUUAGGUAGCGCCUCGUGAAUUCAUCUCCGGGGGUAGAGCACUGUUUCGGCAAGGGGGUCAUCCCGACUUACCAACCCGAUGCAAACUGCGAAUACCGGAGAAUGUUAUCACGGGAGACACACGGCGGGUGCUAACGUCCGUCGUGAAGAGGGAAACAACCCAGACCGCCAGCUAAGGUCCCAAAGUCAUGGUUAAGUGGGAAACGAUGUGGGAAGGCCCAGACAGCCAGGAUGUUGGCUUAGAAGCAGCCAUCAUUUAAAGAAAGCGUAAUAGCUCACUGGUCGAGUCGGCCUGCGCGGAAGAUGUAACGGGGCUAAACCAUGCACCGAAGCUGCGGCAGCGACACUAUGUGUUGUUGGGUAGGGGAGCGUUCUGUAAGCCUGUGAAGGUGUACUGUGAGGUAUGCUGGAGGUAUCAGAAGUGCGAAUGCUGACAUAAGUAACGAUAAAGCGGGUGAAAAGCCCGCUCGCCGGAAGACCAAGGGUUCCUGUCCAACGUUAAUCGGGGCAGGGUGAGUCGACCCCUAAGGCGAGGCCGAAAGGCGUAGUCGAUGGGAAACAGGUUAAUAUUCCUGUACUUGGUGUUACUGCGAAGGGGGGACGGAGAAGGCUAUGUUGGCCGGGCGACGGUUGUCCCGGUUUAAGCGUGUAGGCUGGUUUUCCAGGCAAAUCCGGAAAAUCAAGGCUGAGGCGUGAUGACGAGGCACUACGGUGCUGAAGCAACAAAUGCCCUGCUUCCAGGAAAAGCCUCUAAGCAUCAGGUAACAUCAAAUCGUACC